rnacentral:rRNA from 1 species
GAUGAACGCUGACAGAAUGCUUAACACAUGCAAGUCUACUUGAAUUUGGGUUUUUUAACUUCGAUUUGGGUGGCGGACGGGUGAGUAACGCGUAAAGAACUUGCCUCACAGCUAGGGACAACAUUUGGAAACGAAUGCUAAUACCUGAUAUUAUGAUUAUAGGGCAUCCUAGAAUUAUGAAAGCUAUAUGCGCUGUGAGAGAGCUUUGCGUCCCAUUAGCUAGUUGGAGAGGUAACGGCUCACCAAGGCGAUGAUGGGUAGCCGGCCUGAGAGGGUGAACGGCCACAAGGGGACUGAGACACGGCCCUUACUCCUACGGGAGGCAGCAGUGGGGAAUAUUGGACAAUGGACCGAGAGUCUGAUCCAGCAAUUCUGUGUGCACGAUGACGUUUUUCGGAAUGUAAAGUGCUUUCAGUUGGGAAGAAAAAAAUGACGGUACCAACAGAAGAAGUGACGGCUAAAUACGUGCCAGCAGCCGCGGUAAUACGUAUGUCACGAGCGUUAUCCGGAUUUAUUGGGCGUAAAGCGCGUCUAGGUGGUUAUGUAAGUCUGAUGUGGAAAUGCAGGGCUCAACUCUGUAUUGCGUUGGAAACUGUGUAACUAGAGUACUGGAGAGGUAAGCGGAACUACAAGUGUAGAGGUGAAAUUCGUAGAUAUUUGUAGGAAUGCCGAUGGGGAAGCCAGCUUACUGGACAAAUACUGACGCUGAAGCGCGAAAGCGUGGGUAGCAAACAGG